AUUGAACGCUGGCGGCAGGCCUAACACAUGCAAGUCGAACGAGUGGCGGACGGGUGAGUAAUGUCUGGGAAACUGCCCGAUGGAGGGGGAUAACUACUGGAAACGGUCGCUAAUACCGCAUACUAUCGGAUGUGCCCAUAUGGGAUUAGCUAGUAGGUGGGGUAACGGCUCACCUAGGCGACGAUCCCUAGCUGGUCUGAGAGGAUGACCAGCCACACUGGAACUGAGACACGGUCCAGACUCCGACGGGAGGCAGCAGUGGGGAAUAUUGCACAAGGGGCGCAAGCCUGAUGCAGCCAUGCCGCGUGUAUGAAGAAGGCCUUCGGGUUGUAAAGUACUUUCAGCGAGGAGGCGUUACUCGCAGAAGAAGCACCGGCUAACUCCGUGCCAGCAGCCGCGGUAAUAC
rnacentral:rRNA from 1 species